rnacentral:rRNA from 1 species
AGAGUUUGAUCCUGGCUCAGGNDGAACGCUAGCGGCAGNSCUAAUACAUGCAAGUNGAACGGUGAUAGCAACDAUCAUAGUGGCGCACGAGGUGCGUAACACGUAUGCAACCUACCUUAUACUGAGGGAUAGCCUUUCGAAAGGGAGAUUAAUACCUCAUAACACAUUGAACUGGCAUCAGUUUAUUGUUAAAGAUUUAUUGGUAUAAGAUGGGCAUGCGUCCAAUUAGUUAGUUGGCGAGGUAACGGCUCACCAAGACGAUGAUUGGUAGGGGAACUGAGAGGUUAAUCCCCCACACUGGCACUGAGAUACGGGCCAGACUCCUACGGGAGGCAGCAGUAGGGAAUAUUGGGCAAUGGAGGCAACUCUGACCCAGCCAUGCCGCGUGCAGGAAGAAGGCGUUAUGCGUUGUAAACUGCUUUUAUAUAGGAAGAAAUAGUCCUUGCGAGGAAAGUUGACGGUACUAUAUGAAUAAGCACCGGCUAACUCCGUGCCAGCAGCCGCGGUAAUACGGAGGGUGCAAGCGUUGUCCGGAUUUAUUGGGUUUAAAGGGUGCGUAGGCGGUUUAUUAAGUCAGUUGUGAAAGACGGUCGCUCAACGAUUGCAGUUCCAUUUAUACUGGUAGACUUGAGUUGGAUUGAGGUAGCUGGAAUGGAUAGUGUAGCGGUGAAAUGCGUAGAUAUUAUCCAGAACACCAAUUGCGUAGGCAAGUGACUAAGUCUCAACUGACGCUGAGGCACGAAAGUUUGGGUAUCAAACAGGAUUAGAUACCCUGGUAGUCCACACUGUAAACGAUGAUAACUAACUGUUGGCUUUCGGGUCAGUCGUACAGAGAAAUCGUUAAGUUAUCCACCGUGGGAGGUCGCCGGCAACG